rnacentral:rRNA from 1 species
GAUGAACGCUAGCGGCGUGCCUAACACAUGCAAGUCGAACGUGAAAAGGACUUCGGUCCUUUGAAAGUGGCGGACGGGUGAGUAAGACGUAGGUGACCUGCCUUGGAGUGGGGGAUAACCACUGGAAACGGUGGCUAAUACCGCAUGACUUAUCUUGAAUGGGAAUUGAGAUAAGAAAGCUUUAGUGCUUUGAGAGGGGCCUACGGCCGAUUAGCUAGUUGGUGAGGUAACGGCUCACCAAGGCGAUGAUCGGUAGCUGGUCUGAGAGGACGAUCAGCCACACGGGAACUGAGACACGGUCCCGACUCCUACGGGGGGCAGCAGUGAGGAAUAUUCGGCAAUGGGGGCAACCCUGACCGAGCAACGCCGCGUGGAGGAUGACGGUUUUUGGAUUGUAAACUCCUUUUCGGUGGGAAGAGUAGGACGGUACCACCGGAAUAAGUCACGGCUAACUACGUGCCAGCAGCCGCAGUAACAC